GUUCUCAGAGGCACACGCGUUUUUUAUUAUUUCCCUGGUGGUGCUCCUGGAAGCGGCUAAUGAUACUUACGGAGGCAAUGGGCAUCUGUGGCUCAGGAGAUAGCAGCCGAAGAUGAGGUUCGAUCCCUGGCUCCUCCGGCCUGCAUGUCAUUGGACAAGACAACCCCAAAUUGUUUCCAGAGGCUGGAUUAUCAGCGUGUGGGUGUACAUGAAUAAGCUCGAGAUUAGAUCCUGAUGAGAAGUCUGGCCCGUGUAUACGGCUGCUCCUGCCACCAACUCCCCCUCGUCCCAGUGGCCUCUAAUGGCAAAACACAGAGGGUCACAAAAGCACCUGGCUACGGCACGCAGCAUGUUGGAAGUGGCAGCUGUUGCCUCCGUCAGUGUGUGCAACUACGGCUGACAGCGUGGCGGGGAAGGCGUGGGAAACUGGCAGAUCGGGUCAAGGUUGCUUCUGUGCAUGAACUCUGAACAUCCGGACGAGCAUCACGGUACAAUGAAAAAGGUUUUUUAAUAUAUCCGUUUGGCUGGGGAUGUAAUUCUGAUGUAUAUUUGACAGCGCCUCCAGAUGGCGGUGGCCAAGGGGACAGGGCCACAUGACCGCCUCUUUCUCCGCGGUCCGUGCUGCGGAGGAAGACAGCAGUGCGGUUGCUGUCUGCACUGACAGAUUGCUUGAGAGGACGCCUGUCUAAAUAAAGUUGUGGGUCACUGCAGGGCAUUUCAUCUGUGCUGCUGCCCCUUAUGCUGGACACGAAGAGCCCGGAUGGACGUUUUGAUUUGAUAAACGGUGCAUAGUCACAGCACAUCAUGCAGACUUCAACUGCGUUAUUCAAAUUCUGCUUGUAAAGGUUACUGGGAGGAAAUCACUCCUUUGAAUCUCCUGUCAUACAGCUGCACAUUUUUCAUGGUUAUGAAGACCUCCUCCGCGGCCGUCACGAGCACAGCGAAUCCAGCAAAGGAGCCGCAUGACUUAUUUGAGGAGAAAGGGUUGUUGAGGUAAACGCAUGGCAGACAUUCCGCCAGCACCUCCGCUCUGUAUGUUUUUUUUUUUUUUAAAAGAACAUUCCAGUAAACACGAGAUUUAAUAUUCACAAGCUGGGCUUCUAAGUGAUAACCAGUGUGAAUGCUUUUAUUAAAAUACAGUAUUACUGAUGAACCUCUGGGUUUAUUGUAUUCAUUUUGCAAGAAAAUCAUGAAGUUCCUGCGCCCAGUAGUAACAGCCCACUGCAACGCAAGCAUCUAUUGUCAUUUCAGUGCAAAAGAACAUGGACAUGUAAAACAAAACUGUACUGUAUUUAACCCAUGUGAUUGGAAUAGAUCUAAAGAGCUCCUGUUAUAAUGGAGAGGAAGCCAUCUGGUAAUCAUGGUCUGGAAAGAGCACAAGCAAUCAAGCCCUUGUUCUACCACUUUGGCAGACUGGAAGUAAAAGGCUUACAUGGACGCAGAUCAGUCCACCAGCUUGAAGGUGAACAUCACAUGCGAAACAGAGGGAAAAGAAGGAAUCUGACACAGAAAACAGAUGCCGACACCAACGGCGAGACACACAGCGGAAGAAGAUCAACUGCGUCUUCUUGGCUUUCAUCAGAGUUUGUCAGGAAAGAAAAUAUGUCUCUGCUCUCUCACAGCCCCCAGGGGUUUAUUUGUAAAUGUCACACUUGUCAAACUGUCAGCAACUGUAUAUUCCGCCAAUGCCGCAUUUUCCCCCGAAACAGAGAAAAACCAGUGGAUGUAUAUUACAAUAUAACCGGUUGAUAUUAUUUUUCAUGUUUUAUUUUUAGAUGCUUUCUUUUGGUCAUCUACAAAAAAAAGCUAAAAACUGGAAACCGCAACGCAGUUUUUUAUAAAAUCGUAACAAAAGUAAAUGAAGACUCCAGCAACGAGACACACGCACAGAUGAACACAGAUGUGACAAGAACCUUUCUGCUGCACAGCGGCGGACGGGCAGCAUUUAGUCACCUCUCAACCACAUCUUGGUUUGCGUCUCAUUAAAAAUGUUUGCCUGGAUGACACCAUGCUGUCUUCAACCAACUGUGACCAUGUCAUCUGUUCCGAGGUUCGGUAAACUCUUCUUGGCGUAGCUGUCUUUUAGAUAUGAAGUCAAAUUGUUUCUAAUGAUCUACUAGAAUAGAGCAAGUAAUUCCAUUUUAAAAAAAAGAAAAGAAAAGACGUGUUAAAAUGACACAAAUGAUGACAGCAAGCAACUAAGAGGCAAAACCAAAAACUCUUUUCCUCUACUGCGAAUGGAUUUAAUUGAACUAAUUGACAUGAUAGAGUGAUAAAGUAUUUUUUAGAUUGUAAUGUGUUAUAAUAAACGUGUGUUUAGUCAUUCAUUAAUAAAACAAUAAUAAUCAGAUCUAGUUUUUUCGAUGUGCAAAUGACAGAGAAAUGUACACCUAUACAAACACAUUGAUUUCAAUAUAAACAAUGUUAAGCACUUGGUUCAUUUUUGGGGAAAUCAAUCAAUUCUGGCACAGAGUUUAAAGCAGAUUGCACCAUGUUUCCACAGUAAAAAG